UUGAACGCUGGCGGCAGGCCUAACACAUGCAAGUCGAGCGGUAGCACAGAGAGCUUGCUCUCGGGUGACGAGCGGCGGACGGGUGAGUAAUGUCUGGGAAACUGCCUGAUGGAGGGGGAUAACUACUGGAAACGGUAGCUAAUACCGCAUAACGUCGCAAGACCAAAGUGGGGGACCUUCGGGCCUCAUGCCAUCAGAUGUGCCCAGAUGGGAUUAGCUAGUAGGUGGGGUAACGGCUCACCUAGGCGACGAUCCCUAGCUGGUCUGAGAGGAUGACCAGCCACACUGGAACUGAGACACGGUCCAGACUCCUACGGGAGGCAGCAGUGGGGAAUAUUGCACAAUGGGCGCAAGCCUGAUGCAGCCAUGCCGCGUGUGUGAAGAAGGCCUUCGGGUUGUAAAGCACUUUCAGCGGGGAGGAAGGCGGUGAGGUUAAUAACCUCACCGAUUGACGUUACCCGCAGAAGAAGCACCGGCUAACUCCGUGCCAGCAGCCGCGGUAAUACGGAGGGUGCAAGCGUUAAUCGGAAUUACUGGGCGUAAAGCGCACGCAGGCGGUCUGUCAAGUCGGAUGUGAAAUCCCCGGGCUCAACCUGGGAACUGCAUUCGAGACUGGCAGGCUAGAGUCUUGUAGAGGGGGGUAGAAUUCCAGGUGUAGCGGUGAAAUGCGUAGAGAUCUGGAGGAAUACCGGUGGCGAAGGCGGCCCCCUGGACAAAGACUGACGCUCAGGUGCGAAAGCGUGGGGAGCAAACAGGAUUAGAUACCCUGGUAGUCCACGCCGUAAACGAUGUCGAUUUGGAGGUUGUGCCCUUGAGGCGUGGCUUCCGGAGCUAACGCGUUAAAUCGACCGCCUGGGGAGUACGGCCGCAAGGUUAAAACUCAAAUGAAUUGACGGGGGCCCGCACAAGCGGUGGAGCAUGUGGUUUAAUUCGAUGCAACGCGAAGAACCUUACCUGGUCUUGACAUCCACAGAACUUUCCAGAGAUGGAUUGGUGCCUUCGGGAACUGUGAGACAGGUGCUGCAUGGCUGUCGUCAGCUCGUGUUGUGAAAUGUUGGGUUAAGUCCCGCAACGAGCGCAACCCUUAUCCUUUGUUGCCAGCGGUUAGGCCGGGAACUCAAAGGAGACUGCCAGUGAUAAACUGGAGGAAGGUGGGGAUGACGUCAAGUCAUCAUGGCCCUUACGACCAGGGCUACACACGUGCUACAAUGGCAUAUACAAAGAGAAGCGACCUCGCGAGAGCAAGCGGACCUCAUAAAGUAUGUCGUAGUCCGGAUUGGAGUCUGCAACUCGACUCCAUGAAGUCGGAAUCGCUAGUAAUCGUAGAUCAGAAUGCUACGGUGAAUACGUUCCCGGGCCUUGUACACACCGCCCGUCACACCAUGGGAGUGGGUUGCAAAAGAAGUAGGUAGCUUAACCUUCGGGAGGGCGCUUACCACUUUGUGAUUCAUGACUGGGGUG
rnacentral:rRNA from 1 species